rnacentral:lncRNA from 1 species
AGAAAGAAAAAGAAGAGAAAGGAUAACAGCAAUGCAAUUGUAUUCAAUGAAGGAUUCACAAUUACAUGUAUUUGGGAAAGAGAAAAGAUGCAACAAACUGGUAGAAUAAGCCCUAAGAAAGCACGUAUGCUCUGCCCAAAUCACCUAGAAGGUGACCCCACAAAAUCAUAACAGAAUUCUUGGCUACCCAUCUCUGCCUCCACUCACUCCUUAUAUAACCUUUUUCUCAUGCCACUCAUACAUUCUUAACCACGUCAUCAUUCCCCUUUCCUUUUGUAUUUUUCCUCUUAUAAACCUUCCACACCCUUGGCUUAGGCCCAUAAUCAAAGCCCACAUUCUGCACCCUGUUUCUAUCAAUGAGCACAUAAUAUGCAUGACAAACAGUUUCAAAAUAAGCAUUACAUUACAAAAGAGUAAACUAGAAAUUACUAAGACAAUUGCGUAUAAAUUUCAUCCCAUGAAUUCAUUUUGCGCUCAAGUCCAUAGUUUAUAAUCUUCAUGGGUAGGACCAUGAGAUUCAUCAGGUGCACUAUCAAUUUCCAAUGCUGCAACUGCACUUGAUCCUGGGCCAACAUUGUUUUUAGACCUCCAAAUAGUUUUCAAUCUAUAACUACUCCUCUUAAGUGCUUGAUGUUUCUUCUUCUCAAGUUUUUUCUUCUCUCAAGUGGUUUCUUCUUCACCUUACUUUGAGAAUUUGGCUUGGGAAUUCCUUGAUAAACAACAAGCCUAGGAUUACAAACUUGAGAAUGUGGAUCCAAGGUUGAUCUUCAAAAGAGCCAUCAUUUCUUCAAUCAUUGCAUUUAUUUCUGGAUCAUUCCAAAUUUCUUUAGUACCUAUAUUUGAUGAUACACCUUUAGUAAUAAGUUUUUCUAACACCCCCUCAUUUUUACCCUUUGUUCUUGGGGUUUUCUUCUACACAGUCAAAUUGCAACAAAUUAUAUAUAUAUAUAUAUAUUAGUCAGUUUGCAAUUCAAUCAUAAUAAAUGAGAAUGCCACUAAACAAAUUUGAAAAGUUACCUUUUGUUUCAAUGCAUUAGGGUCUUAUUCAUUGCUUUGACAUUUCCUUGAAUUAUGGCCAACUUUGUCUUAUUUGGUGUACCUAUAUGUCAGACCAUGUCUCCUCAUCCUUGACCCUGAUUCAUCAUGCUCCCUAAACAUCAAUUUCUUAGGCCUACAUGGACCCUUCUUAUAUUGUGAUGGUAACCUAUCUUCAACAUCAACAGUUAGCCACAUGUUUAUACCAUUAAUGAGACUUAUAUUGUUUUCAUAACACUUUUAUAAGCCUCCCUCAUAUAACGAGAAUCAACAAAUAAUUCUAAAUUCAAAUUUUAAUAAUGCAUAGCAGACAAAACAUGUUUACAAGGUAUCUCUACUAGGUCAUAAAAGAAACAUGAACAAGUUUCUUUCCCAAGCUCCACUAUAAAUUGAAGUCCAUUAUAGGGAUGGUCAACUUUCCAAAUGUCACUCGUACUCCAUGUUGGCAGCCACUGACCACUCAACUGAACCUUCUUAUCUAGUCGUGUCUUAGGUAUGGGCAUGACCUGGUGUUUCCAUUUAUCAAGCCUAAACAAAUUUUUAACAAAAUAAUUCAUCAAAUAGUUUCUAAUCCACUCACACAUUGUGAGGAUUGGUUUAUCCCUAACUUGUAAUUAUACUAUUAAAAGACUUACUAAGGUAGUUCGUCAAGGCAUCACACUUUGGUAAAAUCUAAAAGGAUGCUUACACCAUAGCUUUGUAGGGACUCCCAUCACCCAAUCCUAUGUUUUUUUGUCUAGUUGCUUUAGACCAUUCAUCUUUUUCUUCCAAUCUUAAAAAUAAGUAUCUUUUUUCAGCUCCCAUCAAAAGGUCCUUAUUACAGCUCCACCACCAAACUUCUUAAAACUAACAUACAAAUUUCAUAGACAUAUCCUAUGCUUGAUUUUGUUAUUCAAAUACACUCACAAAACCCUGGAAUUUUCAUGAAAAUACAGUUAAUCAAAGUAAAUGUAACAAAUGAAACCAUACUUUAAUUUGGUGGAAACCAUCUACUCCAAUAAAAAAAUCUACAUCCUUUAGUAAAACCUUUCUUACAAACAUAAAAGCAAAAAUAUAAUUUUCCCAAUAUUUGUGGAAUAGUUGGAAAUGGUCUCUCAAUGUUAAUUUUCAUAGUAUUUCCAACACCUCGCUUCUUUAAUUCUAUUGCAUAUCUCCACAACAUGGUAUAUUAUUUUUAUGCAUCUCCUUAAAUAAUUUUAUCAGCCAUGUUCCUACCUCUCCAUGCCUUUCCUUUGGUGAUACCCACAAAGUACUUCAUCCUUAGCACAUACAUUAUCUCAUGCACUUUAACCUUACCCAUUGACUUCCUUUUCUCCACCACUAGCUUGGACACCCACCUGGCAUUGAUAGCUUUAUUAUUUAAAAUCCUAACACAUGUGUGUGUCCCCACCCAUGUCUUUAAUUGGUAGGUGUGUCUGUCGCCCACUUUACCACACAAUACCACAAAACCACAAUUACCCCUGCACUUUACUCUAACCCUAUAACUUUAAUUUUUAACAAAUUUUAUCUCUCUUUCAUUUAGAACAUACCACUCCCUAAUAGCAUUUUUGAAUUCACUUAAACUUCUUAUACUUGUUCAUCAAAUAUCUUCUAAACUUCUUAUAAUUAGGAAGUUUUUCAUUGCCACUAUCAUCAAUCCUAGCUUUCCAAUUCUUCACUUUCAUAAUCCCCAUCUUGAGUUUCAACAUUAUUGGAAUUCCUCUUUGAACUAGAGCCUAUAUCUAUGGUUGGAACAAGCAUGUUCAUCUCGGAUGGGGAUUUUAUCUUCUUUGAUUUUUGUUUCCUUUUACCUUAAAUCUUAGUUACUUUCCAUUUACCUCAACCCUAGUACCAUGAUUUGGUCUUUCCAAUUCAACUUUCACAAAUCCUUCAUUUCUUUCACAAGUUCUUUCUUCUCACUAUCAUCAAACGUAAUGCUUGUAAUAUCAUCAUCACUACUAACAUGAUCACUACCUUCAUUGAUUUGUUCAACAUUAGGACUUAAGACCUUGAUUAACACAUCUUUAACAUCAUUUUCAACCAAUAUAUGACCAUCAACAUACUUAUCAAGGUUGUGUUUGGAAAUCUCCUUAACUUGUACAUCAGUGAUGAAUUCAAGAAACCCUUCAUUAAAGUACUAUAAUUUUUCUGCAACGCCUAAAUUCAUCAUAACCCCACUUCUCAAUUAAGCUAACAACCUAAAAAACUCCACUUAUGAGAGACUUUCCCUUCUACAAUGGUUUCAUUCCCUCCCUUGUUAAACAUGUGCUUAUCACAAAUAAAGUAACUCCCAUGAUGAAAUAUCACACUGAAUAGGCUCAUGUCUGCAACUACAGAUAUAACUAAGGGUUAAACAAGGGUUACAAGAUUAAAAUUAACAGUUUAAUGAAACAAAACUCAAUUUACCCACACGGUGAAAACCAAAAUUUGGAAACCUAAUUUUGAUUGACCCUGAGCAUUAAAUAAUUGGGAUCAUUGGAACAUAAAAACUUUACAUUCUAACGCAUGUGGCAUUAGGACCAUUGAUAAGUAAACAAGAUUAUACAAAUCAUACCUUUUUGAUGUCAAAGCUUGUCCUUGUUGCGAUAAAAGAUGAAACAUAUCCCAAUGUCAGGAGAAAUGUAAACUUAGUGUCAGCAAAAACACAGUGUCAGCACAACGCAGACAAACGGUGGUGAGUAAAGAUUUAAAUUCAAAAGAUGGUGAGA